rnacentral:rRNA from 1 species
ACGCACGCUGGCGGCGUGCUUAACCCAUGCAAGUCGAACGGAAAGGCCCUGCUUUUGUGGGGUGCUCGAGUGGCGAACGGGUGAGUAACACGUGAGUAACCUGCCCUUGACUUUGGGAUAACUUCAGGAAACUGGGGCUAAUACCGGAUAGGAGCUCCUGCUGCAUGGUGGGGGUUGGAAAGUUUCGGCGGUUGGGGAUGGACUCGCGGCUUAUCAGCUUGUUGGUGGGGUAGUGGCUUACCAAGGCUUUGACGGGUAGCCGGCCUGAUGGGGUGACCGGCCAAAUUGGGAAUGAGAUACGGCCCAGACCCCUACGGGAGGCAGGAGGGGGGAAAAUUGCACAAUGGGCGGAAGCCUGAUGCAGCAACGCCGGGUGCGGGAGGACGGCCUUCGGGUUGUAAACCGCUUUCGCCUGGAACGAAGGGGGGGGGACGGUAAUGGGUAAAGAAGCACCGGCUAACUACGU